AUGCAGCCGCGCCGCCGCGGGGGCGCUGAGGAAAUGGCGUCUGCGGCGACUCCCAGCCCCAGCGGCCGCGGAGGGGGGAGGAGCCGGGGGGUUAGGCGGCGUCGCCGAUUGGCUACAGGGCGCCCAACGGCCGGCUGGCUAGCCAACCGCCGCCGCGGGGCUGCCGGCAGCGCCUCUCAUUGGCUGGGGGGCGGGACGAGCCGCCUGGUGUCGGGGAGGGGGCCUCCCCUCAGGCCGGGGGGGCGUGUUCAGCGGGCAGAGGCAGUGCGGAGCCGGCUGCGGCGCCGGGCAAUGGCGGCUCGGCCCAGGGCGCCCUCAGCGGCGGGCGGGGGGGACGGCCCCGCUCCCCGGACGCGGUUUGCACUCGAGGGGUGCGAUAGCAGGGGUGCGGUCCCCGCGCCGGCGAUAAGGGAGGUGGGCUGGGCCGCGCUGGCCCACGGCGGAGCGGCCUCCGCGCAUAGCCCGGUCCAGGCGAGGCGGACGCUGUCCCCCGGUCGCCCUCAGGAAGGGCGAGCCGGCUGUCGUCCCCUCGGCGGUACCGGAGUAGUGAGAGGAAUGGGAGGACAAGUGCAGAACUUGUAGAGUGGUCACAGGAAAGUGCAGUCUAUGCACAGCCACUGUUUUCACAACUUACUUAUUUUGUAAGUGUGAUGAAAGUCAGGAGUAACCGAUGCCCUCAUGCUGUAACAGAAUCCUGAUCCAUCUGAAACAGAGAACAGAUUACACAAGUACACUGAAAUGAGUAUAAAAUAUAAAAUAUUGUAAUGAAUAUAAAAUAUAAGACUAAUAAUUUUUUUACCUAUUAUUUUUUGGUAAACUGCUAGCAAUGCAAGAAAAAUGUGCAUUUCGAUUGGCCUACAAAUAGAAACAAAAAAUGGUACACCCUUAAAAAAGGCAAAUGUUACCAAUAUUGUAAAUAGUAAAAGCUUUGUAAAUUGUUGGGUUUUUUUCCCCAAUGUAUAUAGGUUUUAAAAAAUGUUACACAACUGUGGGAUUAUAAGUAUUUAGUUAUAUUUCCUUUCCCAAACUACAUUAAGGUGGAAGUAAGACUGAGUGACUGUAUGAGUAGUAUAAGAGCAAAUUACUGCUCCUUUUAUUCUUAUUUUUCGCUACUGCCCAUCACUGGAACCUCUAAAAAAUUGCUGCUGCCUAAAUUGGUGCUGUGCUAAGGUACCACCUUGACUUCUGUGGGUCGCAGAAGCCAGAAGCCCAGGAAGGAGUAGCCUUGAGGAGUCCCAGGUACGGAUUAGUGAGAAGUCUGGCCUAACAGCUGUGAGGCUUUGCAGUACCUUAGCUAGCUCAACGCUGCCUUGUGUCAUGAAAAUAACAGGAUUUCUUUAUGUGGAAGGCUUGGAGGUUAUUACUCUUGAAGGGAGUAUUAAGUAUUAAUCAGUUCAGUUCUUUAAAAUACCAUUACUUUGAUUUUCUUGGUUUUGUAAUGAUUUGAUUUUGGAAAAUAACUUGCAGUAACACUACAAUAUUUUACAUCCAGUCUGAAAUACAAAGUUUCAAUGUGGUUUGUGUCUUUUUUUUUUAACUUUUCCAUGAUUUGUAAUCAGAAAUCUGAUUUUAUAAAUGCUAAACAAGAAUCAUAAGUGAUACACUACUCUGUAGUUUGAAAGGAGGGGUACUUGCUGAUGCACACAUGCCAAUGUAAACCAGAGUACACUAGCAGCUAAGCUGCAGUCGCAUAAUUAAUCAUUGCUUGAACCACACCACAAACAACUAAAAUGAUUUGUGAAUGUAUAGUUAGAUAUUUGGUGUGGAGUUUGUAAGAAAAGCUUUAUGAGAAGGAGAAUUGACGCAAUUCACAGUGUUUGUUUUCCCAUCUACCAUUCAUAGGGCAUGUCUCCAGCACUGUUGUCUCACCACACACUGGAGCCAGAAUAAAUUAAAAAAUGGGGGAAAAAAUGGGGUUUGA
ensembl:lncRNA